UAAGUAGAUGGUGAAAGCCUGGGGGCUCAACCCCUUCAACAUCAUUUAAACUGCAUAGCUAGAAUAUGGGAGAGGUACCUGGAAUUCCAAGUGUAGGAGUGAAAUCCGUAGAUAUUUGGAGGAACACCGAUGGCGUAGGCAGGGUACUGGCCCAUUAUUGACACUAAGGCACGAAAGCGUGGGGAGCGAACGGGAUUAGAUACCCCGGUAGUCCACGCUGUAAACUAUGGAUGCUA
rnacentral:rRNA from 1 species